CCGCAGAUCACACACGGGGA
rnacentral:miRNA from 1 species